rnacentral:rRNA from 1 species
CAGUAGCCGCGGUAAUACAGAGGGUGCGAGCGUUAAUCGGAUUUACUGGGCGUAAAGCGUGCGUAGGCGGCUUUUUAAGUCGGAUGUGAAAUCCCUGAGCUUAACUUAGGAAUUGCAUUCGAUACUGGGAAGCUAGAGUAUGGGAGAGGAUGGUAGAAUUCCAGGUGUAGCGAUGAAAUGCGUAGAGAUCUGGAGGAAUACCGAUGGCGAAGGCAGCCAUCUGGCCUAAUACUGACGCUGAGGUACGAAAGCAUGGGGAGCAAACAGGAUUAGAGACCCCGGUAGUCCCUGUCUCUUAUAC